GGAGGGGUGGCCGAGUGGUCGAUGGCGCACGCUUGGAAAGCGUGUAUACCGAAAGGUAUCGUGGGUUCGAAUCCCACUCCCUCCGCCA
rnacentral:tRNA from 1 species